GACGGGUGAGUAACGCGUGAGGAGCUGUCCUAUGCAGGGGGACAACAGUUGGAAACGGCUGCUAAUACCCCAUAAGCCGAGAGGUAAAAGGAUUAUCCGGCAAAGGAGGCACUCGCGUCCUAUCAGCUAGUAGGUUGGGUAACGGCCGACCUAGGCGAAGACGGGUAGCCGGCCUGAGAGGGCGAACGGCCACACUGGAACUGAGAUACGGUCCAGACUCCUACGGGAGGCAGCAGUGGGGAAUAUUGGGCAAUGGGGGGAACCCUGACCCAGCGACGCCGCGUGGGUGAAGAAAUCCUUCGGGAUGUAAAGCCCUGUUGUAUGGGAAGAGUAGAAGACGGUACCAUACGAGGAAGCCCCGGCAAACUACGUGCCAGCAGCCGCGGUAAUACGUAGGGGCAAGCGUUGUCCGGAAUUACUGGGCGUAAAGCGCACGCAGGCUGACUUAUAAGUCGGUAGUCUAAUGCGGAGGCUCAACUUCCGUUUAUCUAUCGAUACUGUAAGACUAAGUAUGUGAGAGGGAAUUGGAAUUCCCGGUGUACGGUGAAAUGCGUAAUAUCGGGAGGAACACCAUUGGCGAGGCGACUUCCUGCCAUACUGACGCUCAUUGUGCGAAAGCUAGGGUACGAACCGGGAUUAAUACCCCGGUUAUUCCUAUCCGUUUCAAUGGAUACUUGUGUGGGUGUCUCGGUCUUCGUGCCUUCUUUUUCUCUUUUUUUAUCCCCUUCUGUGGUUUCUGUCUUUAAUUGUUUCCUUUGAUUUGUUGGGGCCUCUCUUUUUU
rnacentral:rRNA from 1 species